UGCGAUGAGUCGAGAAGGACCAAGUAACAUUUUUGUUACUCCGCUGCGGCGGCUAGUGGUCAGUGUCGAUAGCAGAGCACAUUUGCUGCCGGAUUGCAGCGUGCUUGAAUACAUUACAUUGUGGAGUGU
rnacentral:ncRNA from 1 species